AGAGUGAACGCUGGCGGUAGGCCUAACACAUGCAAGUCGAACGGCAGCACAGUAGGAGCUUGCUCUUACGGGUGGCGAGUGGCGGACGGGUGAGGAAUACAUCGGAAUCUACCUUUUGGUGGGGGAUAACGUAGGGAAACUUACGCUAAUACCGCAUACGCCCUUCGGGGGAAAGCCGGGGACCAGCAAUGGCCUGGCGCUGAUAGAUGAGCCGAUGUCGGAUUAGCUAGUUGGUGAGGUAAUGGCUCACCGAGGCGACGAUCCGUAGCUGGUCUGAGAGGAUGAUCAGCCACACUGGAACUGAGACACGGUCCAGACUCCUACGGGAGGCAGCAGUGGGGAAUAGUUGGACAAUGGGCGCGAAGCCUGAUCCAGCCAUACCGCGUGGGUGAAGAAGGCCUCGGAGUUAGUAACGUCCGUUUGUUAGGAAAG
rnacentral:rRNA from 1 species